GAAUCAAUGAGAAGUGAGCUAUAUUAAGGCUUAUUACAUUAAGAGCAAAUUACAUACAUUUUUUCCUCCUGACACAAACUUUAACUGGAAUUGCUGACGCGCAAAAAAAAGAUUUGUAACUUACUAGCAAGCGCUGUUGGGAGAAAAAGACAAGAUAAUUUUCAAAGGACAAAGAACGACAGCGUCAAAUGAGCUCAGUGCUGCUCAACUGGUACAACAAAUGGUACUUUAUGUAAUGGCUUCUUGUGUAAUCAGAAUGUGCGACCACCUAUUUAAGAUAUAUACACGGUCAGAGGAGACGAGCUAUUGGAGAUAAAGAUGUUUGUGCUGCAUGCUGUAAUACUAACCAAUGUAACGCAGAAGAUUGUAGAAGUCUUAGUAAAAGUAUUAAACUAUUAAGAUUUGA